AAGUCGAACGAAGCAAUUAAAAUGAAGUUUUCGGAUGGAUUUUUGAUUGACUGAGUGGCGGACGGGUGAGUAACGCGUGGAUAACCUGCCUCACACUGGGGGAUAACAGUUAGAAAUGACUGCUAAUACCGCAUAAGCGCACAGUACCGCAUGGUACGGUGUGAAAAACUCCGGUGGUGUGAGAUGGAUCCGCGUCUGAUUAGCCAGUUGGCGGGGUAACGGCCCACCAAAGCGACGAUCAGUAGCCGACCUGAGAGGGUGACCGGCCACAUUGGGACUGAGACACGGCCCAAACUCCUACGGGAGGCAGCAGUGGGGAAUAUUGCACAAUGGGCGAAAGCCUGAUGCAGCGACGCCGCGUGAGUGAAGAAGUAUUUCGGUAUGUAAAGCUCUAUCAGCAGGGAAGAAAAUGACGGUACCUGACUAAGAAGCCCCGGCUAACUACGUGCCAGCAGCCGCGGUAAUACGUAGGGGGCAAGCGUUAUCCGGAUUUACUGGGUGUAAAGGGAGCGUAGACGGCGAAGCAAGUCUGAAGUGAAAACCCAGGGCUCAACCCUGGGACUGCUUUGGAAACUGUUUUGCUAGAGUGUCGGAGAGGUAAGUGGAAUUCCUAGUGUAGCGGUGAAAUGCGUAGAUAUUAGGAGGAACACCAGUGGCGAAGGCGGCU
rnacentral:rRNA from 1 species